rnacentral:rRNA from 1 species
UAUAUUAUGGAUCCUGGAUCUCUACUUCAAUGUUCAUUGCCUGGAUCCAUUUGGCUAAUAGGUUCCCUGUGGAAGGGCUUGCUUCCAAGCACAUACAUGGAAGAUGCAACGGUGGGUGUGCCUGGUGGGGGACAGGAAGAAGACCAAAAACAGACAAGGGUCGACCUCCCUGAUCCAGGAACUGCUACGGGAGAGGGUACGGGAGGUAGAAUCCAUGCGAAACUCCAAGGUCACCAGCUGAACACAGGAGGCACAGGUAAAGGGAUCUGGAGAUGCAGGGGUUGAAGGCUGCUCUGAUCUACCUCUGGGAGGAAGGGAGGGAAGGAAUGAGAAGGAGACACUGGCUGCCCCUGGCCCAUUCCAGCUGCCCACCGCUCCGACACACAUCAGUCUACGACAGCUGACACAGCUUGGGCUCAGGAUGGGCUGUCUCGGGUCCUCAAUCCCACGAAAGUGACUCUAAUAAUUCUGACACACGAUAGCUAGGACCCAAACUGGGAUUAGAUACCCCACUAUGCCUAGCCCUAAACCCAAAUAGUUACAUAACAAAACUAUUCGCCAGAGUACUACUCGCAACUGCCUAAAACUCAAAGGACUUGGCGGUGCUUCACAUCCACCUAGAGGAGCCUGUUCUAUAAUCGAUAAACCCCGAUAGACCUUACCAACCCUUGCCAAUUCAGCCUAUAUACCGCCAUCUUCAGCAAACCCUAAAAAGGAACAAUAGUAAGCACAAUCAUAACACAUAAAAACGUUAGGUCAAGGUGUAGCUUAUGGGUUGGAAAGAAAUGGGCUACAUUUUCUACAUAAGAACACCCACCAUACGAAAGUUUUUAUGAAACUAAAAACCAAAGGAGGAUUUAGCAGUAAAUCAAGAAUAGAGUGCUUGAUUGAAUAAGGCCAUGAAGCACGCACACACCGCCCGUCACCCUCCUCAAGCAUGUAGUAAUAAAAAUAACCUAUAUUUAAUUACACAACCAUGCAAGAAGAGACAAGUCGUAACAAGGUAAGCAUACUGGAAAGUGUGCUUGGACUAC